ACAGCUUCUAAUUGGACUUAAGGAGGGAAAGCAUGCCUGGUGCUAGCCUGGCUCACUAGCCGUAUUCUUGGGGCUCAUAGAGUCAGGGACCUCAGAUUAGACUCUACUACUGACACUUUGUCAGCGUAACUCCUGACCAUAUUCUAAAUCUCAUUUUUAUAUCCACAGAUAAAUGUGACUACCACCGAAGAAGCUUUUUCUAACUGCAAUGGAGACUAUCACAGAAAACUACGACUGGACACAAAGCAGAUGCCACUAGAUGUGGGUAGCCAAGUCUCAACAUAUACAUCCACAGCACAGAUCCUGCCUCUGAGGCUCAGGCAAUACCAUGGAAGACGGGGUGGGAAGACUGCAAGAGCCAGAGUACCAGGAAGUCUGCUGUGAGACACCCUCUCCUAGAAAAGGCUGCAUAUUUGAGUUAAUACAGCCCUUCUCGGUUUUUCUCAUAAACAAACCAACAAACGAAACUGUUCAUAAAAGGAUCCAUUCUGAAGAUCAUCACCCUACAUCUUUGCUGCCUGGAUUUGACACUGACCUAACUGAAAGUUUCAGGGUUGGCAUCGGUGUUGUUGACAGAUAAUCCUGAGAGCUCAAUCAAGUUCAGUCAGAAAAGCCCUGGGAUGGCAAGCAGAGCCAGGAGGAGGAAUUGACUGUUCUAAGGGACGAGGACUCGCCUUGGGAGGUAGUCCCCACAAAACAGCUAAACAAAUUAAUAAAGGAAAACCUAAGGCAGACAACCGUAUCCACAAAGAAUCUUUGUGUGGGCUGCUGAGAUGGUUCAGCAUCCGAAGUGACUGCUGCUAACCCUGAGGACCGGAGUUUGGUCCAUACGGUGUAAGAAGAGACAUGACUCUGGCAAGCUGCUUUUCCUCCACUCACGUGCCACGGAACUCCCGUGUACCUUAUUCACCCCCC